GUUGCCGGUUUCAUUGAUAAUAGUGAAAGUGUGGUGUUGGAACGUCCGCUCUGCAUAUGUUACGCGUUAAAACAUAUUAACUUUGCGGGUGUUCUGUGUUGUUUCAUGGUUUUAGUUCUCAAAAUGACUGAAACUAUAGUAUCAUUCAUAUCUUCAUCAACUGAACGUCUUCUAGGUGUAAAUGUUCCUAUUUCUGAUUACAUGUCAUUUUGUUUUCAGUUUCAGAAACAGGGGAGGGAUGUGGAGAAGGUGAAACAGAGACUGGCAGAGAUAGCCAAUUACGUGGACAAGUUCUACAGGGCCCUGAACAUCCGGGUGGCCCUGGUGGGUCUGGAGGUGUGGAGUGACACUGAUAAAUGCCCAAUCACCCAGGAUCCCUUCACCACCCUGCACGAGUUCCUAGAUUGGAGGAAAGUCAAACUGUUGCCCCAGAAACCUCACGACAAUGCUCAGCUCAUAAGCGGGGUUUACUUCCAGGGCACCACCAUUGGCAUGGCGCCCAUUAUGAGCAUGUGCACAGCUGAGCAAUCUGGAGGAAUUGUCAUGGAUCACUCUGAGAACCCACUGGGUGCAGCCGUGACUUUGGCACACGAGCUUGGACACAAUUUUGGGAUGAACCACGACACCCCGGAGCGCGGCUGUGGCUGCAGGAUGACAGUUGACCGUGGAGGCUGCAUCAUGACCCCCUCCACAGGGUAUCCAUUCCCAACAGUGUUCAGUACAUGCAGUAAGAAGGACCUUGCUGCCAGUCUGGAGAAAGGCGUGGGCAUGUGUUUGGACAACAUGCCUGAGGUAAAGGUGCUCUACGGUGGCCAGAAGUGCGGCAACGGCUACGUGGAGGAGGGAGAAGAGUGUGACUGCGGGGAGCCAGAGGAAUGUAUGAACCCAUGCUGUAACGCCACCACAUGCACCCUUAAGGGAGACGCUGUGUGCGCCCACGGACAGUGCUGUGAAGACUGCAGGCUGAAACCAGCUGGCACCAUGUGUCGAGAUUCUAGUAACUCAUGUGACCUGCCAGAGUUUUGUACUGGUGCAAACCCUCACUGCCCAGCCAACGUUUAUCUGCAUGAUGGACAUGCCUGCCACAGCGUUGAAGGCUACUGCUACAAUGGCAUCUGCCAAACUCAUGAGCAACAAUGCAUCACCCUGUGGGGACCAGGGGCCAAGCCUGCCCCUGGGAUAUGCUUUGAGCGAGUCAACUCCGCAGGUGAUCCUUAUGGGAACUGUGGGAAGGACUCCAAAGGCUCCUUUGCCAAAUGUGAUGCAAGGGACGCAAAAUGUGGCAAAAUUCAGUGCCAGGGAGGAGCCAACCGGCCAGUGAUCGGAACAAACGCUGUUUCCAUUGAAACCAACAUCCCGCUUCAAGAAGGAGGGCGAAUCCUGUGUCGAGGAACUCAUGUUUAUCUGGGCGAUGACAUGCCUGAUCCUGGGCUGGUUCUGGCUGGUACAAAGUGUGGAGACGGCAUGGUGUGCCUGAAUCGCGAGUGCCAGAAUGUCAGUGUCUUUGGUGUGCAUGAGUGCUCUGGGAAGUGCAAUGGACGUGGGGUGUGCAACAACAAGAUGAACUGCCACUGUGAAGCACACUGGGCCCCUCCGUUCUGUGGGAAAGCAGGCUUCGGUGGGAGCAUCGACAGUGGGCCAAUGAGACUAGCAGCCGACAGUGUGGUCAUUACUGUGGCAAUCCUGGUUACCCUGGUCAGCCUUCUGGUAACCACCGUCAUCAUCUUUCUGAAGAGAAAGACUCUGCUGCGCCUCAUCUUCACCAAUAAGAAAAGCACCUUGGAGAAACUCAGAUCUGUGGAGGCCAACAGGCCAACCAGCCCCAUCAGGACUCCGUCAAUGUACAGGCCCACCCCACAGCGCAAGCCUCCACCCAAACCCUCUGCAGCCAACAUUUAUAAGGUGAGUCACUCCCUACAAUAA
rnacentral:lncRNA from 1 species